ensembl:lncRNA
UGUGAUCUCACAUAUCUGUGUGCCAGUGACUGUGAUUGUGUGUUUCGAUAUAGCCAGCAUAUUAAUAUAAAACUGUGAUUAUACUGACUGUAACAUCCUAUUGGUUACACAGUUUGAAAGCACACCUUUCAGCCAAUCACUAUAGCAUAUUCAGCUUCUGUAGACCUACUCAUAGGUUGGAACAAACGUGGAAUUCCUUAACCGAGCAGUCCACAAAACCCCAUCCAUUUGUCAUGGCAAUUUGAAAAUGCCAGCAGAUCAAUCAGACAUUGAUCAUAAUCAAUGGACAGGUCACCGUAGCCACCCGGAUCCAGUCUGUAUCCAGAUCAGAUGGUGGAUCAGCACCUAGAGUUGACCUCUACAGCCCUGAAAGACA